rnacentral:rRNA from 1 species
CAAUAGCGUAUAUUAAAGUUGUUGCAGUUAAAAAGCUCGUAGUUGGAUUUGUGGCGUACGGUGUGUUCCGGGCACUUGUUGUCUGAGUAACCUGCUGUUGCCAUCCUUGGGGGGAACCUGUGUGGCAUUAGGUUGUCGUGCAGGGGAUGCCCAUCAUUUACUGUGAAAAAAUUAGAGUGUUCAAAGCAGGCUUAUGCCGUUGAAUAUAUUAGCAUGGAAUAAUGAGAUAGGACUUUUUUGCUAUUUUGUUGGUUUGCGCAAGAAGGUAAUGAUUAAUAGGGACAGUUGGGGGUAUUCGUAUUCCAUUGUCAGAGGUGAAAUUCUUGGAUUUUUGGAAGACGAACUACUGCGAAAGCAUUUACCAAGGAUGUUUUCAUUAA